rnacentral:tRNA from 1 species
GGUGGCUCAGUAGUAGAGUGCUUGCCUUGCAUGCAUGAGACCCUGGGUUCGAUUCCUUAGCACCA